GCCGCGCUCCCCCUCCCGGCGAUUCCUGGCCUAGCGGAGGAUCGGCCGUGGCCGUGGACCGCGUCCAGCGGGGCUGCGCUGGUUGAGGCCGGACCCGGACGAGAGAGCCGGCAGAGCGAGGUAGUGAUCCACUGGGCAGACGCUGCCGACGGGGCCGGUCCGUGAGGUGGAGAGCGGAGCCUCCUGUGCAGCGUCUAGGGGAGAAGGUCCACAACACCCAUCUUAGCCCCAGAAUGAUCCAGGGCCACCAAGGAGAACUGGUUUUCGAGAUAAAAGGAUCGAUAAAAGGCUUUCUGCACCUCCCCCCCCCCGCCCCCCAAGGAGGCUCAGUGAGCCGUGGUCCAGAAGCGAUGCAUUCAGGGUCUCGAGUCAGGAAUGCCCGAGCGGGAACCCUGCCAGUAAUGCCUGGUUGCACGAGGACCGCGGGCUUAGAUUGCCAUACUAGCGGGCGAAGGUUGACAUCAACGUUUUCCCUGCAGUUUCAAAUAAGAAUCAAAACUGGUAGUAACUUUUUUUGUGAUGCUGAAAACAGGGCUUACACUGAGAUCUCGCUGAGACCCAUUAGCCCUCACAGAACCUUUGCGACCAUGCUAAACACAGCAUACUCAGGGGUGCUUCGUCUUAUUUAUUUAUUUUUUAAUUUAAAGUAUAACUUACAUACAGAAAAGUUGAACUUGCAGAUGAAAAAGUGCGUAACAAAUUACCACAAAGCUAACUAACUGGCACGUUCAAACCAUCACCCACAUCAAGACAUGGGAUAUUAUUAGCAAGAAAUACUUAGUUUGAUAUUUGACAGCCAGUGGAAAAUCCACCCUCAGUAUAAUAAAGAGUUUGUGAAAAUCA